rnacentral:rRNA from 1 species
AUUGAACGCUGGCGGCAGGCCUAACACAUGCAAGUCGAGCGGAUGAAGGGAGCUUGCUCCUGGAUUCAGCGGCGGACGGGUGAGUAAUGCCUAGGAAUCUGCCUGGUAGUGGGGGAUAACGUCCGGAAACGGGCGCUAAUACCGCAUACGUCCUGAGGGAGAAAGUGGGGGAUCUUCGGACCUCACGCUAUCAGAUGAGCCUAGGUCGGAUUAGCUAGUUGGUGGGGUAAAGGCCUACCAAGGCGACGAUCCGUAACUGGUCUGAGAGGAUGAUCAGUCACACUGGAACUGAGACACGGUCCAGACUCCUACGGGAGGCAGCAGUGGGGAAUAUUGGACAAUGGGCGAAAGCCUGAUCCAGCCAUGCCGCGUGUGUGAAGAAGGUCUUCGGAUUGUAAAGCACUUUAAGUUGGGAGGAAGGGCAGUAAGUUAAUACCUUGCUGUUUUGACGUAACCAACAGGAUAAGCACCGGCUAACUUCGUG